GAUGAACGCUAGCUACAGGCUUAACACAUGCAAGUCGAGGGGCAGCAUGAACUUAGCUUGCUAAGUUUGAUGGCGACCGGCGCACGGGUGAGUAACACGUAUCCAACCUGCCGAUGACUCGGGGAUAGCCUUUCGAAAGAAAGAUUAAUACCCGAUGGCAUAGUUCUUCCGCAUGGUAGAACUAUUAAAGAAUUUCGGUCAUCGAUGGGGAUGCGUUCCAUUAGGUUGUUGGCGGGGUAACGGCCCACCAAGCCUUCGAUGGAUAGGGGUUGUGAGAGGAAGGUCCCCCACAUGGGAACUGGGACACGGGCCAAACUCCUACGGGAGGCAGCAGUGAGGAAUAGUGGUCAAUGGACUAGAGUCUGAACCAGCCAAGUAGCGUGAAGGAUGACUGCCCUAUGGGUUGUAAACUUCUUUUAGACGGGAAUAAAGUGAGGCACGUGUGCCUUUUUGUAGGUACCGUAUGAAUAAGAAUCGGCUAACUCCGUG
rnacentral:rRNA from 1 species